rnacentral:rRNA from 1 species
UAAGGUCUAGCCUGCCCAAUGAGGGUUUAAAUGGCCGCAGUAUUUUGACUGUGCAAAGGUAGCAUAAUUAUUAGUUUUUUAAUUGAAAGCUUGUAUGAAGGGUUGGACGAGAUAAAAUCUGUCUUUAUUUAAAUUAUAGUAGAAUUUAACUUUUAAGUCAAAAGGCUUAAAUAUCUGUAAAAGACGAGAAGACCCUAUAGAUCUUUAUUUAAUUAAUAUUUUGAUAAUUUAGGAUUAUUUUAAUUUAAAGUUUUAAUUAAAUUUUAUUGGGGUAAUAUAAAGAUUAAAUGGAUUCUUUUUAUUUGUUACAUUAAUUUAUGAAUUUAUGAUCCAGUAUUAUUGAUUAUAAGAUUAAGUUACCUUAGGGAUAACAGCGUAAUUUUUUUGGAGAGCUCAUAUCGAUAAAAAAGUUUGCGACCUCGAUGUUGGAUUAAAAAUUAGUUUGGGUGUAGAAGCUCAAAAUUUUGGUCUGUUCGACCAUUAAAUUUUUACAUGAUCUGAGUUCAAACCGGCGUAAGCCAGGUCGGUUUCUAUCUUUAUUUAAUUAAAAUAUUUUAGUACGAAAGGACCAAAUAUUUGAUAUAGUUAUAUUUAUUUUUUGAAUAAUAUU